GCAGAAGGUUGACUUUCUUUUUUGGUGGUUGGGGUUCUGUAGUUUCCGCAUCAGAAUGUUGUUCUUUUAAGACUUCUAAAAGCAUGCUCCACACCUUGUUCCGCUCAGAUUUUGGAUGGCACUUCACAUUCUUAAACCUUAGGCCAAGCCUGUUGCUGUAUUUAGAU